AAGCAUUCACCAUUACUAAAUCAUUUACCAUGUGUGUGUACAUAUUUCCAAAAACAAAAAAACACACUACCAGCCCUACUAUAGGUUGCUGUACACAUUUACAAAACCACAAAAAAAGAGACUUGAGUACCUUGUCAUUAGUCAAGUAACAUUAGGGCAUUGAACUGUGAUUCAAUGCCAUCUAAUGUUGCUUCAUGAAUUCCCAAUCUCUGUUUAAGUUCUUCAAUGCCUUCAACUUCACCUUUUUCUUCCAAAUGUGCUAUGCUUUCA
rnacentral:lncRNA from 1 species